ACAACUUUGCUUCUUUUAAUAUAGGCAGGGAAGUCAAAAGAUUGGAUAUCCCUGCUUUAUACCAAGAAAGACAACACCCCACAUUUGCAAUGCCUAAAAACACUACCAGCCAUCUGAAAAACAUGUGACUUCUAACUUCUGUUCUUUUUUGUAGCAGUGGAAUCCCACAGUGAUAUCUGAGGGAUGUGGUUACCUUUUGGAGGAGGUUUACGGUUUCUAAGGAUGAUUCUUUCUGAGUGAAAUAUUGUCGGUGUCAUUGACCUUUUCAUUAUUUCAACUAUUAUUAUUCCAGGUUAUCAAUACUCUGGCUGACCAUCGUCAUCGUGGGACUGACUUUGGUGGAAGUCCUUGGUUAGGUAUCAUUAUUGAAUUUCUGAGAAGUUAUAAAGUUGUCAUUACCCUCUGGACAGUUUACCUUUGGGUGUCUUUCCUGAAGACUAUCUUCCAGUCUGAAAAUGGACAUGAUGGAUCCACAGAUGUACAGCAGAGAGCCAGGAGGUCCAACCGCCGUAGACAGGAAGGGCUGAGGUCCAUUUGUAUGCACACAAAGAAAAGAGUUUCUUCCUUUCCAGGAAAUAAAAUUGGCCGGAAAGACGUCAUUACUCUACGGA
rnacentral:sRNA from 1 species